AGAGGUAGCCACAUAGAGUCAGAGACAUGCUCAAGUGCAGAGUUAGAUAAUGUGAUAAGGGUGGAAAGGGUUGUAAUGGAUUACUACUACUGCUCCUAUGGCGGCUUGGACUUAUAUGCACUACUCAGCUUGCUUGGGUACAGCUUCCUGGAACCUGAAGCCUGUUGCUUUUCUUUACAUAUUUCAUGAUGUAACUAUGACUGCGCUGUUAUCUGGCUUGUUGUGUUCUUUCUUCUCUAGAUAUGUAUGGAUAUAAAAACCACAUGUGGAUGAGUUAGGAGGAAAGCAACGUCUGGUGACAUGAUGCAAGUCUGGCCACUUUGAAUUAUGUAUUAACCUCCAUUUCUAAUGCACUGUGUGUUCUGACACCUGCUGAUCAUUGCCAGCAGGCCCCCGUCCACCGCCGCGUGCUGCACACACUCGCAAUUACCACGAAUUACAUCAAUAUUUUUGCAUAUUUUGGAAAAGCUAGUGAAAAAUACAUCUAAUAAACAACAUUAGCAAACAUAAAUUUGUGAGCCAUCCAUUAUCCUCCUUUUAGCAGAGUGUCUGAAUUACUAGUUCUUUAUACUGGACAUGUUAUUACCAGAAGCAUCAGAUAGUAGGACAGAUUUUACAUUUUUUAUUACCAGCACGUCCGAGUAAAAGUAUUAGCAGUCCUACGGUCUGUGCUUCCCUGGGUGUUUCCAUUUUUUACAGAGCGCCUGGAGCCAGAUGUGCACGUGGGGUUGGGAGCAAAGGUCAAAGUGGACACAGCUGGUUGUGGGACAGGAGGAAGCGAGGGCGGAGGACGGUGCUGCCUGCGAGCACGGAGCUGUUCUCUGCUGGGUUUUGUUUACACCAGGUUUAUGUGAGCUGACCACACCUGAAAGAUCCGUGCUGCAGACGACCCUUCUAUAGGAGUCCAGCUCCCUCCCGUACGGCGGCAGAAGACAAAAAGACGAGAGCAAGACUUGGCACCUCCUGAUCACCUCGGCUCCCUCCGUGUUGCUCCUCCCAGCGCUCAGGGUGAGUGAAGUGCGAGACAAAGUAAUCUUCAGGUGAAAAGACAGGCUUCCUCCCUCCCUCUCUCCCUCACAGCGCUGCCGUCUUCCCGCUCUACCUGCUCAGAGCGGAGUGGACGAGCUCGCGCAGCAGCUGCCUCGGCUCUGCCUCUCGUGUCUGAGCGCUGUGCUCUUGCUCCAUCCGUUCCCCUCCUUUCUGUGCCUCUCCCUCCCUCUCGCCAUCCCUCUCCGACUCAUGAAUGUUUAGACAUGGCAAUUGUAGCUGAAAGCCAGUGAAUUAACCUGCGGGACUGAAAAUGCCCUCUUUUGUUCCACUGGCUUUUCCCCAGGUUUUCUUCUGCGAUUCCGUUCACUGUAUGUGACCCCCCCUAAACAACACAAUGAUUUGCUUUUAAAGCGGGUGAUAGUCUCUUAACUUUGUGGUCCCUGCUUGCCACUGGAUCUCAUCAACAGACUGUCUGGAGCAGGAAUAAAAGAUUAUGGUCUAACA
rnacentral:lncRNA from 1 species